rnacentral:rRNA from 1 species
GGAGGGGGGGCUAGCGUUGCUCGGAAUUACUGGGCGUAAAGGGCGCGUAGGCGGAUUAGACAGUCAGGGCGUGAAAGCCCCGGGGCUUAACCUGGGAACUGCGUUUGAUACUACUAGUCUAGAGUUCGGGAGAGGGUGGUGGAAUUCCCAGUGUAGAGGUGAAAUUCGUAGAUAUUGGGAAGAACACCAGUGGCGAAGGCGGCCACCUGGACCGAUACUGACGCUGAGGCGCGAAAGCGUGGGGAGCAAACAGGAUUAGAUACCCUGGUAGUCCACGCCGUAAACGAUGUGUGCUAGACGUCGGGCAGCUCGCUGUUCGGUGUCGCAGCUAACGCACUAAGCACACCGCCUGGGGAGUACGGUCGCAAGAUUA